AGAUUGAACGCUGGCGGCAUGCCUUACACAUGCAAGUCGAACGGCAGCGGGCCCUUCGGGGUGCCGGCGAGUGGCGAACGGGUGAGUAACACAUCGGAACGUACCGGCUAGUGGGGGAUAACCCGUCGAAAGACGGGCUAAUACCGCAUAAGCUCUUCGGAGGAAAGCAGGGGACCUUUUGGCCUUGCGCUAGCCGAGCGGCCGAUGUCCGAUUAGCUAGUUGGUGGGGUAAAGGCCUACCAAGGCGACGAUCGGUAGCGGGUCUGAGAGGACGGCCCGCCACACUGGGACUGAGACACGGCCCAGACUCCUACGGGAGGCAGCAGUGGGGAAUCUUGGACAAUGGGGGCAACCCUGAUCCAGCAAUGCCGCGUGGGUGAAGAAGGCCUUCGGGUUGUAAAGCCCUUUCGGCAGGGAAGAAAUCGGCGGGGCGAAUAACCCUGCUGGAUGACGGUACCUGCAGAAGAAGCACCGGCUAACUACGUGCCAGCAGCCGCGGUAAUACGUAGGGUGCGAGCGUUAAUCGGAUUUACUGGGCGUAAAGCGUGCGCAGGCGGCCCGUUAAGACAGGUGUGAAAUCCCUGGGCUCAACCUAGGAAUUGCGCUUGUGACUGGCGGGCUAGAGUACGGUAGAGGGGGGUGGAAUUCCUGGUGUAGCAGUGAAAUGCGUAGAGAUCAGGAGGAACACCGAUGGCGAAGGCAGCCCCCUGGGCCUGUACUGACGCUCAUGCACGAAAGCGUGGGGAGCAAACGGGAUUAGAUACCCUGGUAGUCCACGCCCUAAACGAUGGGUACUAGCC
rnacentral:rRNA from 1 species